rnacentral:misc_RNA from 1 species
UCUCNGUAGGUGAACCUGCGGAGGGAUCAUUUCUGAGUGAGGGUCUCCGGGCCCGACCUCCAACCCUUUUGUGAACCACCUCGUUGCUUCGGGGGCGACCCUGCCGUUCGCGGCGUGGGGCCCCCGGGGUCAAUNAAACACUGCAUUCUCUGCGUCGGAGUAUUAGUAAAUCUAAUCAAAACUUUCAACAACGGAUCUCUUGGUUCUGGCAUCGAUGAAGAANGCAGC